AAACAAGUGCAGACGAGAGAGAAGUGGAGGUAGAAGUCAAAACCAGAAGGAGGAGAAUGGGGAAGACAAGAAACCACACAUCCUGGUGAUAGCCUGAUAUCCCAGACCUGCAGGAAAGCCUGUUGGAACCUGUUGCUCAGGAGCUGGCUGACGGAGGAAGGGAUGCCAGCCAUCUUGAAGUCAAAAGUCAAAGGAAAGGCAAAGUAUAACGUUCUGGUGCCCGUGGUCGGAAAGACCUGUCUGUACUUUUCCACUGUUCGUGUUAGCUGAGAUUAAAAACUAAUGAAAAAUUCUUUACAGCGGGAGUAUCAACACCAUGGUAAUCUGAUACUGAACUUUUCAGUUUGAAUUUGGUGAGUAAAACUGAAACUGGGGGAGUACCAUCUGCCCGCCGUGUCGCCUCCUAUAGGUGGGACGUGCUGGGCUGGGUGAGCCCUCACAGCCCUUUGUGCCACCACACAAAGCACCUCAUGACUGCCAAGGAGAGACACUGUGCGAGAUCACCAGGGCGUGCAGUAGACAUGC
ensembl:lncRNA